AAUCGUCUGAUCGGAAAAGUUCAACAGAUGUUGCGGAACAUAGAAACAUGCUAUUGGAAGUUAGCUAGCUAGCCAGGAUGAUAACGUAGCUUGCUAUCACAUUUCAGCACAUCGAGGAAGCUAAUUCAUUUAUCGCCAUGGACACACGUCGGACAGCAGGACGAGGCAGCACAACAUGUGUUUUCGUGGCGUUAGUUGUAGCGACGUGUCUUGAAACCAUUCGUGCUUUCGGCCACAGCCAAGACAGCGAAUUCACCUUUAUCUUACCAGCCGGAAGAACCGAGUGCUUUUUCCAAACGGCUGCGAAGAACGUUACCAUGGAAGUGGAGUAUCAGGUGAUAGCCGGUGCAGGUAUGGAUGUAGAUUUCACCGUUCUCUCUCCUCACGGAUUCCAGCUCAUCUCUGAGUUCCGCCGCUCAGACGGAGUCCACAUGGUGGAACCCACGGAGGAAGGAGACUACCAGAUCUGUUUUGACAACAGCUUCAGCCGCUUCUCUGAGAAGAUGGUCUUCUUUGAGGUCAUCAUCGAGGGACAGCCGGGCGACGUGGGCGGGGAUGACGAGUGGGCGGGGCUUGGAGAGCCUGAGAGCCUAUUGGAGUACAAGCUGGAGGACAUUAGGGAGUCAAUAGACUCAGUACACCGUCGGUUAGAGAGAAGCGGUCAGAUGCAGACAGUACUGAGAGCGUUUGAGGCCAGGGACCGUAACCUGCUAGAAGACAACCUGUGGAGGGUCUCCUUCUGGUCCUGUACCAGUCUCAUUGUAAUGCUGGGGGUCGCACUAACUCAGAGGGUCUUCUGCCAACAUCAUUGUGGGAUAAAAGGUGCGUUUGAUUUGAGCAGUGUGAGGGUCUUCUGCCAACAUCAUUAUUGUGCUAAAAGGUGCGUUUGAUUUGACCAGUGUGAGGGUCUUCUGCCAACAUCAUUAUUGUGCUAAAAGGUGCGUUUGAUUUGAGUAGUGUGGGGGACUUCUGCCAACAUCAUUAUUGUGCUAAAAGGUGCGUUUGAUUUGAGCAGUGUGGGGGACUUCUGCCAACAUCAUUAUGGGAUAAAAGGUCUAUACUGUCCGCAGACUGUUUGACGAUAAGAGGCGUGUCUGUACAUAAAGACACGCCCACUCCGCCACCUCACAGCCAAUCAGUGGGAAGAAAGGAGUGGAGAGAGGAUGGAAGACGAGGAGGAUACAGAAGAGUAAAUUAUCUGUGUCACGAAUUGCAUCCUAUUCCCUAUCUAGAGCCGAUCUGUUUUUAUUGAACCUUUAUUUAACUCGGCAAGCCAGUUAGGAUUUACCUAGAGGCAGAACGAAGAUUUUUACCUUGUCAGCUCUAACCACUAGGCUGCCAGCUGUGCCUAGUAGUGCACUAUCUAGGGAUAGGGUGCUAUUUGGGACACUCCUUUGCCAUCUGGGCUCAACACGGUGCCUUUUACUCCCUGGGUGGUGUUCAUUAGACACAGAACUAGACAACAGAAGUGACAACAGGUUCUGCCUCCAUUUGUCCAAUGAGAAUGUUCACUCUUGUGUUCCCGGGAAACAUUUUCUCCGCCCUGUUUGUGCUUAUUGUACUUAUGGUCCCAGUCUGCCCCUGAGUCAGUCAUAAUUUACCCACAAUGCAUCAAGGAUGUGAUCCGCACAAAAGCACACGUUGGGUUUAAAUCUCUAGUAAUUGAAUUUCUAUGGAUCCUCCUAUUUUACCAGAACAAGCCCUACCCAACCCCUGAUGUCCUUCUCUCAUUGGUCCAUGUCUUUGGCUACCCACAACAGGUCACCAUCACCUUUUUUUUGGUGUUACUGAGUUUUAUGUGCCAGUAAGAUUCUAUGCUGAUAUCUAGAUGAACAGGUAUGUUUGUGGGGGGUUUUCAAUGUGGGGAUGUGGUGUGUGUGUGUGUGUGUCCGUGUGUGUCCGUGUGUGUGUCCAUCUAACUUGUGUGGUAUAGGGGACAGAAACCGUUUACAGAGAACCGAGAUUACCAUUGAUCCUAACGCUUUCGCUACUUCCCAAUCCACCACCACCCCCAAGUGUAUACUUGCCUUGCACACUCCCAGUCAUGGGUUUAAUGGCUGAAUCUCCCUCCAGCCAAUGACUACACCAUUCCAAUGCUUUUUAAAAGCAGAACAAAAAGUGUACAGGUGCACACUGGGAGAUGGGUGGAGAAUUUGGAGGCAACCUGUGAUUGUAACUAAGAAGGGAGUGGUACUUUGAACAUUCUUAACCAUGUUGCCAUGGCAGCCAGUGAUUUUAAUGUUGUUGUUUUUUACACAAUAAAAGACAGGACAUUUUCAUUUGA